GUUAAGACCCAAGAGACAAAGUGCUCAUUCAUCUUCUUCAAAUCUCUUCUUCUCCUGAUGAUGGUGCAAAGCUUAUGGGUUACGAGCUAAAUCAACUGUACUAUUAAAGCUUCAUUUGGUAAUUGUACAAGUCUUUUUGUACUUUGUGGGGGUGAUAAAAGGCGUUGUCAAUUCAACAAACACUUAAAACUUGUGAUCCUUAUGAUUGUGAACUGAGAAGUAUAUAGAAUUGGAUCCAGGUGUAUUCUGUCAUAUUUUUCUGAAAAACAAUAGCAAGUUUUGACAGAGACCAAAUGGAGAAUUGAGAUUCUGCACUCCUCUUGUGAACCAUUGCGGAAGGCAAGGGUACUACAAAAAGAGAAUCGUUAACCUCGGAGCCAAUUUUUCAAGACCAUUCCUUGUAGUAAUUUUAUGUCAAUAUGAUGGAAGGCCUUGGAUUGUGUAGCUCUUAGAAAGAGUUGUGUCAUUCUUCAAGGAUCACAAAGGUUCGAUAUACUUAAUAAUUUUUUUUUUUAAUUAUUUGCUAUGCUAUGUAAUUUUUAUAUCUAUUUGUCAUGGUUGUUGCCUUUUUAGGGGGCUAUUGGUUUGAGUUAAAUGACAAUCAUCAUGUUAAUAAAAAAAUUCUCUCGGAAUUACUUUGAUAAAUUAUUUUAGAAGGUCAUUUUAUUCUUGAAAUACCAAUGAUUGUGAGAUGGAUUCUUUCUCCUAAAUUCUAAUGAUGUGUAUAUUGAUCAAUGACAUCAUAUGGGCACAACUUAGAUUUCUACUAUGACA